GUAUAGAGGUAUGGGACUGUAGGUGGAGGUAUAGAGGUAUGGGACUGCAGGUGGAGGUAUAGAGGUAUGGGACUGUAGGUGGAGGUAUAGAGGUAUGGGACUGUAGGUGGAGGUAUAGAGGUAUGGGACUGUAGGUGGAGGUAUAGAGGUAUGGGACUGUAGGUGGAGGUAUGGACUGUAGGUAGAGGUAUGGGACUGUAGGUGGAGGUAUAGAGGUAUGGGACUGUAGGUGGAGGUAUAGAGGUAUGGGACUGCAGGUGGAGGUAUAGAGGUAUGGGACUGUAGGUGGUGCUAUGGGACUGUAGUGGAGGUAUAGAGGUAUGGGACUGUAGGUGGAGGUAUAGUGGUAUGGGACUGUAGGUGGAGGUAUAGAGGUAUGGGACUGUAGGUGGAGGUAUAGAGGUAUGGGACUGUAGGUGGAGGUAUAGAGGUAUGGGACUGUAGGUGGUAUAGAGGUAUGGGACUGUAGGUGGUGGUAUGGGACUGUAGGUGGAGGUAUAGAGGUAUGGGACUGUAGGUGGAGGUAUGGGACUGUGGGUGGAGGUAUAGAGGUAUGGGACUGUGGGUGGAGGUAUAGAGGUAUGGGA
rnacentral:lncRNA from 1 species